rnacentral:rRNA from 1 species
GACAGAGGGUGCAAACGUUGUUCGGAAUUACUGGGCGUAAAGCGCGUGUAGGCGGCCCUGCAAGUCGGUUGUGAAAUCCCACGGCUCAACCGUGGAAGUGCACUCGAAACUGCAGGGCUAGAGUCCUGGAGAGGAAGGUGGAAUGCUUGGUGUAGAGGUGAAAUUCGUAGAUAUCAAGCGGAACACCGGUGGCGAAGGCGGCCUUCUGGACAGUGACUGACGCUGAGACGCGAAAGCGUGGGGAGCAAACAGG